AAGAAGUUAUCCCUUUUUACAAAUCAAGUGAUUCUAGUUUCCCAGUUUGGUAAUGAGACAACUGCUUCAUCGUUCCAAUCGAACUAGGAUGAACCACUUUAUAAGAAGCCUGAUAUGGAUACAUAAAGUGGUGGAGAAUGACCAGGAAGUUGAAUAAAUCUCAUAGGAGUAGGGAAGAAGAAGUUAUUCCACUUUCAAAUCAGUUGAUUCCAGUUUUCCAGCUUGGGAAUAAGACAACUUCUUCGUCGUUCCAAUCGAACCAGGAUGAAUCACUUUGUAAGAAGCUUGAUAUGGAUACAUAAAGUGGUGGAGAAUGACCAGGAAGUUGAAUAAAUCUCAUAGGAGUUGGGAAGAAGAAGUUAUCCCACUUUCAAAUCAUUGAUUCCAGUUACCCAGUUUGGGGAUAAGACAACUUCUUCGUCGUUCCAAUCGAACUAGGAUGAAUCACUUUGUAAGAAGCUUGAUAUGGAUACCUAAAGUGGUGUAGAAUGACCAGGAAGUUGAAAAAAAUCUCAUAGGAGCUGAGAAGAAGAAGUUAUCCCACAUUCAAAUCAGUUGAUUCCAGUUUCCCAGUUUGGGAAUAAGACAACUUCUUCGACGUUCCAAUCGAACCAGGAUGAAUCACU